UACAGGGGGGGCAAGCGUUGUUCGGAAUUACUGGGCGUAAAGGGUUCGUAGGUGGCCAACUAAGUCGGACGUGAAAUCCCUCAGCUUAACUGGGGAACUGCGUCCGAUACUGGAUGGCUUGAGUGCAGGAGAGGAACGCGGAAUUCCAGGUGUAGCGGUGAAAUGCGUAGAUAUCUGGAGGAACACCGGUGGCGAAGGCGGCGUUCUGGACUGUAACUGACACUGAGGAACGAAAGCCAGGGGAGCAAACGGG
rnacentral:rRNA from 1 species